CUGGCUCAGGAUGAACGCUAGCGACAGGCUUAACACAUGCAAGUCGAGGGGCAGCAUAAAAGUAGCAAUACUUGGUGGCGACCGGCGCACGGGUGAGUAACGCGUAUGCAACCUACCUAUCAGAGGGGAAUAACCCGGCGAAAGUCGGACUAAUACCGCAUAAAACAGGGGCACCGCAUGGUGAUAUUUGUUAAAGAAAUUCGCUGAUAGAUGGGCAUGCGUUCCAUUAGGUAGUUGGUGAGGUAACGGCUCACCAAGCCGACGAUGGAUAGGGGAACUGAGAGGUUGGUCCCCCACACUGGUACUGAGACACGGACCAGACUCCUACGGGAGGCAGCAGUGAGGAAUAUUGGUCAAUGGGCGAGAGCCUGAACCAGCCAAGUCGCCGUGAAGGAAGAAGGAUCUAUGGUUCGUAAACUUCUUUUGCAGGGGAAUAAAGUGCAGGACGUGUCCUGUUUUGUAUGUACCCUGAGAAUAAGGAUCGGCUAACUCCGUGCCAGCCGCCGC
rnacentral:rRNA from 1 species